rnacentral:rRNA from 1 species
UACGGGGGGGGCAAGCGUUGUUCGGAAUUACUGGGCGUAAAGGGCUCGUAGGUGGCCAACUAAGUCAGACGUGAAAUCCCUCGGCUUAACCGGGGAACUGCGUCUGAUACUGGAUGGCUUGAGAUUGGGAGAGGGAUGCGGAAUUCCAGGUGUAGCGGUGAAAUGCGUAGAUAUCUGGAGGAACACCGGUGGCGAAGGCGGCAUCCUGGACCAACACUGACACUGAGGAGCGAAAGCCAGGGAGCAAACGGG